rnacentral:rRNA from 1 species
GGGUUGUGAGGUUAAGCGACUAAGCGUACACGGUGGAUGCCCUGGCAGUCAGAGGCGAUGAAGGACGUGCUAAUCUGCGAUAAGCGUCGGUAAGGUGAUAUGAACCGUUAUAACCGGCGAUUUCCGAAUGGGGAAACCCAGUGUGUUUCGACACACUAUCAUUAACUGAAUCCAUAGGUUAAUGAGGCGAACCGGGGGAACUGAAACAUCUAAGUACCCCGAGGAAAAGAAAUCAACCGAGAUUCCCCCAGUAGCGGCGAGCGAACGGGGAGCAGCCCAGAGCCUGAAUCAGUGUGUGUGUUAGUGGAAGUGUCUGGAAAGGCGCGCGAUACAGGGUGACAGCCCCGUACACAAAAAUGCACAUGCUGUGAGCUCGAUGAGUAGGGCGGGACACGUGGUAUCCUGUCUGAAUAUGGGGGGACCAUCCUCCAAGGCUAAAUACUCCUGACUGACCGAUAGUGAACCAGUACCGUGAGGGAAAGGCGAAAAGAACCCCGGCGAGGGGAGUGAAAAAGAACCUGAAACCGUGUACGUACAAGCAGUGGGAGCCCUGAUUUAUCAGGGUGACUGCGUACCUUUUGUAUAAUGGGUCAGCGACUUAUAUUCUGUAGCAAGGUUAACCGAAUAGGGGAGCCGGAGGGAAACCGAGUCUUAACUGGGCGUUAAGUUGCAGGGUAUAGACCCGAAACCCGGUGAUCUAGCCAUGGGCAGGUUGAAGGUUGGGUAACACUAACUGGAGGACCGAACCGACUAAUGUUGAAAAAUUAGCGGAUGACUUGUGGCUGGGGGUGAAAGGCCAAUCAAACCGGGAGAUAGCUGGUUCUCCCCGAAAGCUAUUUAGGUAGCGCCUCGUGAAUUCAUCUCCGGGGGUAGAGCACUGUUUCGGCAAGGGGGUCAUCCCGACUUACCAACCCGAUGCAAACUGCGAAUACCGGAGAAUGUUAUCACGGGAGACACACGGCGGGUGCUAACGUCCGUCGUGAAGAGGGAAACAACCCAGACCGCCAGCUAAGGUCCCAAAGUCAUGGUUAAGUGGGAAACGAUGUGGGAAGGCCCAGACAGCCAGGAUGUUGGCUUAGAAGCAGCCAUCAUUUAAAGAAAGCGUAAUAGCUCACUGGUCGAGUCGGCCUGCGCGGAAGAUGUAACGGGGCUAAACCAUGCACCGAAGCUGCGGCAGCGACACUGUGUGUUGUUGGGUAGGGGAGCGUUCUGUAAGCCUGUGAAGGUGUGCUGUGAGGCAUGCUGGAGGUAUCAGAAGUGCGAAUGCUGACAUAAGUAACGAUAAAGCGGGUGAAAAGCCCGCUCGCCGGAAGACCAAGGGUUCCUGUCCAACGUUAAUCGGGGCAGGGUGAGUCGACCCCUAAGGCGAGGCCGAAAGGCGUAGUCGAUGGGAAACAGGUUAAUAUUCCUGUACUUGGUGUUACUGCGAAGGGGGGACGGAGAAGGCUAUGUUGGCCGGGCGACGGUUGUCCCGGUUUAAGCGUGUAGGCUGGUUUUCCAGGCAAAUCCGGAGAAUCAAGGCUGAGGCGUGAUGACGAGGCACUACGGUGCUGAAGCAACAAAUGCCCUGCUUCCAGGAAAAGCCUCUAAGCAUCAGGUAACAUCAAAUCGUACCCCAAACCGACACAGGUGGUCAGGUAGAGAAUACCAAGGCGCUUGAGAGAACUCGGGUGAAGGAACUAGGCAAAAUGGUGCCGUAACUUCGGGAGAAGGCACGCUGAUAUGUAGGUGAAGCGACUUGCUCGUGGAGCUGAAAUCAGUCGAAGAUACCAGCUGGCUGCAACUGUUUAUUAAAAACACAGCACUGUGCAAACACGAAAGUGGACGUAUACGGUGUGACGCCUGCCCGGUGCCGGAAGGUUAAUUGAUGGGGUCAGCGCAAGCGAAGCUCUUGAUCGAAGCCCCGGUAAACGGCGGCCGUAACUAUAACGGUCCUAAGGUAGCGAAAUUCCUUGUCGGGUAAGUUCCGACCUGCACGAAUGGCGUAAUGAUGGCCAGGCUGUCUCCACCCGAGACUCAGUGAAAUUGAACUCGCUGUGAAGAUGCAGUGUACCCGCGGCAAGACGGAAAGACCCCGUGAACCUUUACUAUAGCUUGACACUGAACAUUGAGCCUUGAUGUGUAGGAUAGGUGGGAGGCUUUGAAGUGUGGACGCCAGUCUGCAUGGAGCCGACCUUGAAAUACCACCCUUUAAUGUUUGAUGUUCUAACGUGGACCCGUGAUCCGGGUUGCGGACAGUGUCUGGUGGGUAGUUUGACUGGGGCGGUCUCCUCCUAAAGAGUAACGGAGGAGCACGAAGGUUGGCUAAUCCUGGUCGGACAUCAGGAGGUUAGUGCAAUGGCAUAAGCCAGCUUGACUGCGAGCGUGACGGCGCGAGCAGGUGCGAAAGCAGGUCAUAGUGAUCCGGUGGUUCUGAAUGGAAGGGCCAUCGCUCAACGGAUAAAAGGUACUCCGGGGAUAACAGGCUGAUACCGCCCAAGAGUUCAUAUCGACGGCGGUGUUUGGCACCUCGAUGUCGGCUCAUCACAUCCUGGGGCUGAAGUAGGUCCCAAGGGUAUGGCUGUUCGCCAUUUAAAGUGGUACGCGAGCUGGGUUUAGAACGUCGUGAGACAGUUCGGUCCCUAUCUGCCGUGGGCGCUGGAGAACUGAGGGGGGCUGCUCCUAGUACGAGAGGACCGGAGUGGACGCAUCACUGGUGUUCGGGUUGUCAUGCCAAUGGCACUGCCCGGUAGCUAAAUGCGGAAGAGAUAAGUGCUGAAAGCAUCUAAGCACGAAACUUGCCCCGAGAUGAGUUCUCCCUGAGACCUAGAGUCUCCUGAAGGAACGUUGAAGACGACGACGUUGAUAGGCCGGGUGUGUAAGCGCAGCGAUGCGUUGAGCUAACCGGUACUAAUGAACCGUGAGGCUUAACCUUAC